AUGGUUUGCGAGAAAACUCUUCUCUCUCUGGUCUCACUUUGAGUCCUUCUAGAAGUAAAUAACGGAAGUGCUUAUUCAACUACGGCAUUGUCGGACAACCGACCGGAUUCAAGCCCUAGCCCCUCAACUCGGACGGACUUGUGGAAAUCCUCGAAAACAAGUAUUACUCAACUCACCUAUCUAUAA
rnacentral:rRNA from 1 species